UACAGAGGUGGCAAGCGUUGUUCGGAAUUACUGGGCGUAAAGCGUGCGUAGGCGGUCCGCGAAGUCUGAUGUGAAAGCCCCGGGCUCAACCUGGGAACUGCAUUGGAAACUAACGGGCUCGAGUGUGGCAGAGGGGGGGUGGGAAUUCCAACGUGUAGCAGUGAAAUGCGUAGAGAUGUGGAGGAACACCGAUGGCGAAGGCAGCCCCCCUGGGCUAACACUGACGCUCAGGCACGAAAGCGUGGGGAGCAAACAGG
rnacentral:rRNA from 1 species